AGGAUAUAUGAGGUACAGAAAGGUGAAAGAAGGAAGAGAAUGGAAAAAAAUAAGAGGAGUUCAGGAUAAAUGCUUCCAGGAAAACAGAGACUAUGUUGCCAGCUGCAGUGGGAUGGAGAAUCUAUGGAGACUUAAACCUUAUCAUGGCUAACUUGACCCUUAGGGAAGAGAGGUCAGGGGAUUUAAGCUACUUGGUCACUCCAGUCUUUGAAUUCAACGAAGCUUGAACUGUGAUUGGAUCAGAACUCAGAAGAAUCCCGAUGUUCCAGGAAACAUUUCAAGAACAGUCAGAAGACCCUUGGAAAAUUCCUCUUCUGGAGCUUUUAUAAGUCUGGAUACAAAAUGUUUCAAUGGCAUGAUUGAGUAAGGCUUCGGGUAAAAUAAAGAGAGACCAAUGAAAUGAGAACAGCAACAGCUAUUUAAUUACAGUUUGCUAUAUAAGUAAGGAAGUCAGCCACCCCUGCUUACGUUCUGGUAGAGACUCAAAAGCAGGCAAAGGAGUUGGAAAUUUUAUAGUGGAAAAAAAGGGGAGGCACCCAGUAGCUCAGUCAGGUAAGCACCCGACUCCUGAUUUCCAUACAGGUCACAAUCUCAGGGUUGUGGGUUAGAGCCCCAAGGUCCGUGUCAGCCUCCACACUCAGUGUAGAAUCUACUUGUCCCUCUCUCUGC